rnacentral:rRNA from 1 species
CAGUCGCCGCGGUAAUACGAAGGGGGCUAGCGUUGUUCGGAAUCACUGGGCGUAAAGGGUGCGUAGGCGGGCAUUUAGGUCAGGGGUGAAAUCCCGAGGCUCAACCUCGGAACUGCCCUUGAUACUGGGUGUCUUGAGUCCGGAAGAGGUGAGUGGAACUGCGAGUGUAGAGGUGAAAUUCGUAGAUAUUCGCAAGAACACCGGUGGCGAAGGCGGCUCACUGGUCCGGAACUGACGCUGAGGCACGACAGCGUGGGGAGCGAACAGGAUUAGAUACCCCAGUAGUCCCUGUCUCUUAUAA